AAGCUAGAUGGUACUCUCAUCCUGCCGAAGCGAGUAACCCUGAAAAUGGAUGACUCUAUAGCUCUCUCCCGAUGCACAGCUGUCAGUAGCACUUAGAGUCACUCUGUGUCUCCNAGCUCUGACAAGUAGAAUGGCGUGCUGCAAUGCGUUGACGACCUUCGCGUGAGCGUGGUCAGAGCUUGCAGCAGUGCAGAUCUUGGUGGUAGUAGCAAGUACUCUGGUGAAUAACCUUGAGCUGUGAGGCUGAUAAGGGUUCCAUGUCAACAGCGUUUGUACAUGGGUAAGUCGCUCCUAAGCCCCCAUUAUUCUUAAUGGUGAUUGCGAAUGCUCGAAGAGUGUACUUAAAUGGCACGAGAGUCACUACUGUUGCUUGCAGGUUGCGAAAGGUCGUGCUAUACCAUCUUCGGAAGGGAAAAGCAUGUACACUUAGUAGUGCCAAACUUGCUCGCUCUACUGUGUCUCUCGCUGUGUAUUGCUCUCGCGUCGCUUGGCGAAAGGGAACUGCGGACUUAGUUCGUAGACCACACCUGGUACCCUGAGACGGUUCACCGUAUCACGGACCUAGCAAUAGUUGCCAGGCCAGUCGUUGUCAUAAGUUACUCGACGGGGAGAUGUCUUCUCUCUUUGAUAAAGCGUGAUUACCCUGAAAACACCUCGCGUGGCGGAAGGGUAAUGCUUUGCUUAGCAGAGUACUCUACUCCCCCGAGUAGUUCGACGUAACUUGUGAUCCGUGAAAAGGUGGUCGAGGGGUAAGCAAGGAUGGGUCUCUCUGUUGUGUGUGAGCGUGAUUUCGGUCGUCGCUCAUUCGCUUGAGGGUCUCUCCUGACACUUUACUCGAGUGUUAGCCAGGGCGUGGGCGUACCCAUAUCCGCAUCUGGUCUCAAAGGUUUGCAGCCUCUGUGGCGUAUGACGCAUGUAGGUAAGGGAAGUCGGCAAAUUCGAUCCGUACCUUUGGAAGAAGGAUUGGCUCUGAGAGUCGUGCUACGUGUGUACGAGGGCUCCGUAUUCCUGCUUGUCCAAGUGCCGGGGACCGCUUCGGUGGAUCCCGGCCUGCGACUCGCGGGGUUCGGUCAGGUUCUCGUGUUAACGCCGUGGCAACUAGCGACUACCUCAGAACUGGCACGGAGAGAGGGAAUCCGACUGUCUAAUAAAACAAGCGUGCAUGCCCGCAG
rnacentral:rRNA from 1 species